rnacentral:rRNA from 1 species
GACGAACGCUGGCGGCGUGCUUAACACAUGCCAGUCGAACGGAAAGGCCCUGCUUUUGUGGGGUGCUCGAGUGGCGAACGGGUGAGUAACACGUGAGUAACCUGCCCUUGACUUUGGGAUAACUUCAGGAAACUGGGGCUAAUACCGGAUAGGAGCUCCUGCUGCAUGGUGGGGGUUGGAAAGUUUCGGCGGUUGGGGAUGGACUCGCGGCUUAUGAGCUUGUUGGUGGGGUAGUGGCUUACCAAGGCUUUGACGGGUAGCCGGCCUGAGAGGGUGACCGGCCACAUUGGGACUGAGAUACGGCCCAGACUCCUACGGGAGGCAGCAGUGGGGAAUAUUGCACAAUGGGCGGAAGCCUGAUGCAGCAACGCCGCGUGCGGGAUGACGGCCUUCGGGUUGUAAACCGCUUUCGCCUGUGACGAAGCGUGAGUGACGGUAAUGGGUAAAGAAGCACCGGCUAACUACGUG